CUGGUGCCUGCGGCUGCAGCGCCCCCAGGAAGGCAGUGAAAACGCAUUGGGAGGACCGUGUGUUUGGCUCCACAGCCCCAAGGAUUAGGGCCUUUUGUCCACCCUCUUCCGCAAAUUUGAUGAGGGCCUGCCAGCAGGACAGGAGAAAUUAUACCAACGAGGAGGAAAGAGUGUCUGCAGCGGUAGCAGUGACGAGGGACAAGGAUGCUCUAAGGACAACCUGCCGCAAGGAAUGGGGGUAUAACCUUACACCUGUUUGCCCAAGAGGGAGGACAAAACUGAACUAAAAAUGGAGACUGGAGGCGCACCACCC
rnacentral:lncRNA from 9 species